rnacentral:rRNA from 1 species
ACCCGCUGAAUUUAAGCAUAUCAAUAAGCGGAGAAAAAGAAACCAACAGGGAUUGCCUUAGUAACGGCGAGUGAAGCGGCAACAGCUCAAAUUUGAAAUCUGGCCUCACGGUCCGAGUUGUAAUUUGUAGAGGAUGCUUUUGGCGAGGUGCUUUCCGAGUUCCCUGGAACGGGACGCCAUAGAGGGUGAGAGCCCCGUACGGUGAGACCACCGAGCCUCUGUAAAGCUCCUUCGACGAGUCGAGUAGUUUGGGAAUGCUGCUCUAAAUGGGAGGUAAAUUUCUUCUAAAGCUAAAUACCGGCCAGAGACCGAUAGCGCACAAGUAGAGUGAUCGAAAGAUGAAAAGCACUUUGAAAAGAGGGUUAAAUAGUACGUGAAAUUGUUGAAAGGGAAGGGCUUAUGACCAGACCUUUGCCUUGCGGAUCAUCCGGUGUUCUCACCCGUGCACUCCGCUUGGUUGAGGCCAGCAUCAGUUUUGGCGGCCGGAUAAAGACUUCAGGAAUGUGACUCCUCCGGGAGUGUUAUAGCCUGCUGUGUAAUACGGCCGCUGGGACUGAGGACCGCGCUUCGGCUAGGAUGCUGGCAUAAUGGUCAUCAGCCACCCGUCUUGAAACACGGACCAG